rnacentral:rRNA from 1 species
AUUGAACGCUGGCGGCAUGCUUUACACAUGCAAGUCGAACGGCAGCGCGGGCUUCGGCCUGGCGGCGAGUGGCGAACGGGUGAGUAAUACAUCGGAACGUGCCCAGUAGUGGGGGAUAGCUCGGCGAAAGCCGGAUUAAUACCGCAUACGACCUGAGGGUGAAAGCGGGGGAUCUUCGGACUCGCGCUAUUGGAGCGGCCGAUGGCAGAUUAGCUAGUUGGUGGGGUAAAGGCCUACCAAGGCGACGAUCUGUAGCUGGUCUGAGAGGACGACCAGCCACACUGGGACUGAGACACGGCCCAGACUCCUACGGGAGGCAGCAGUGGGGAAUUUUGGACAAUGGGCGAAAGCCUGAUCCAGCAAUGCCGCGUGUGUGAUGAAGGCCUUCGGGUUGUAAAGCACUUUUGGCGGGAACGAAAAGGACUGUGCCAAUACCACGGUUCGAUGACGGUACCCGCAGAAUAAGCACCGGCUAACUACGUG